UACGAAGGGGGCUAGCGUUGUUCGGAAAUACUGGGCGUAAAGCGAACGUAGGCGGCUACGUAAGUCAGGGUUGAAAUCCCGGGGCUCAACCCCGGAACUGCCUUUGAAACUGCAUGGCUAGAAUCCUGGAGAGGCGAGUGGAAUUCCGAGUGUAGAGGUGAAAUUCGUAGAUAUUCGGAAGAACACCAGUGGCAAAGGCGACGCGCUGGACAGGUAUUGACGCUGAGGUUCGAAAGCGUGGGGAGCAAACAGG
rnacentral:misc_RNA from 1 species